rnacentral:rRNA from 1 species
AGUGAACGCUGGCGGUAGGCCUAACACAUGCAAGUCGAACGGCAGCACAGUAAGAUCUUGCUCUUACGGGUGGCGAGUGGCGGACGGGUGAGGCAUACAUCGGAAUCUACUUUUUCGUGGGUGAUAACGUAGGGAAACUUACGCUAAUACCGCAUACGACCUACGGGUGAAAGCAGGGGAUCUUCGGACCUUGCGCGAUUGAAUGAGCCGAUGUCGGAUUAGCUAGUUGGCGGGGUAAAGGCCCACCAAGGCGACGAUCCGUAGCUGGUCUGAGAGGAUGAUCAGCCACACUGGAACUGAGACACGGUCCAGACUCCUACGGGAGGCAGCAGUAGGGAAUAUUGGACAAUGGGCGCAAGCCUGAUCCAGCAAUACCGCGUGGGUGAAGAAGGCCUUCGGGUUGUAAAGCCCUUUUGUUGGGAAAGAAAAGCAGCAGGUUAAUACCCCGCUGUUCUGACGGUACCCAAAGAAUAAGCACCGGCUAACUUCGUG